CUUGUUCUCUGGACGGGUUUUGAUAAAUCUCCCCCUAAAUGUGUAACUAUCCCGAUAGUGCUUGAAAAACAAAAAGAAAAACAGGCGCUCCCUUGUGAAGAACCUACGGGAUCACAGAUCCUGAAUGUUGGGGUUUUCCCAGGGAACACGAAGGCCCAAUACUGUAUGAGGCAGAAACCCUUGUUCGGCCAGCACAGUGAAGCAAAUGAAACUGAUGGGAUCUAGGGGAACAUCCAUGGCAAUUAGAACCUUUUUGGAUUCUCGAAGAAAAGAAGAAGUAGAGCUUGUGCGGCAGAUCUGUAUGUAACCGCACAAGCUACAUGUGCAUU